rnacentral:tRNA from 2 species
GGGCGUAUAGCUCAGUUGGUAGAGCGAUGGUCUCCAAAACCAUAUGUCAUCGGUUCGAUUCCGAUUGCGCCUG